UUUCAAAUGAUUCAUCAAUAAAUAUAUUUUGUCUCUGUGCACACAUAUGUGUGUAUGCACACAAAUGUCAAAUGCAUAUGUGGCAAAAUGUUAACAAUUGGUGAAUCUAAGAUGCAAUGUUCAUUUUAUUAUUCUUCUUAUUAUUAUUUUGAACAGAGUCUCACUCUGUCACCCCGGCUGGAGUGCAGUGGUGCGAUCUCAGCUCACUGCAACCUCCGCCUCCCGGGUUCAAGCGAUUCUCCUGCUUCAGCCUCCUGAGUAGCUAGGACUACAGGCACGGGCCACCACGCCUGGCUAAUUUUUUGUAUUUUUAGUAGAGGUGAGGUUUCACCAUGUUAGCCAGGCUGGUCUCGAUCUCCUGACCUCAUGAUCCGCCUACCUCAGCCCAUUAUAUUAUUUUUAAACUUCUCUGUAGGUCUGAACAUAUUCAAAGGAAAAAGUUGGAACAAGAAAGAGUGACUCAGGAUGGAAACCUUGCCACCAAGGUGGGGUUACGUGGGGUCUGUGCCUUGAGUAGUAAUGCAUAACCCAGAAAUCAGCCCUAAGCAGAGACACUGAGGACAAUGGCGCGUGUUGGGCACUGCACAACCCUAAAGGAGCCAUUUACAUAGACAAUCGUGUCAAUGAUGCUUCCCCCCAUACCCUGUUCAACUGUCCACAGUCAUCUGUGCCUAGAGGCAGUAUAUGCUGAACUAGACCGAAGCCUAGAGUGGCCAGAUUCUGCAUGCAGGAGUGGGGAUUGGAGUAAACUAAAUCAGUGUUUUCCAAGGUGUAGAUCAUGAGGGAUUACUAAGUAUUCUCUGAGACUGGAGGCGUUGUGAGGGCAGGCUGUGUAUGGCUUUCUUCUGUUUCACCAGUGCAGAGCCCAGUAUUUAGCACAAAAUAGGGAGUCAAUAAUUUUUGUUUUUGCAAUAACAAGUUAACUGCUACCAAAUACAUUUAAGAAAUAGUGCAUGAAACAGGAUUGCUAGAAUAAGAUUUCUCAGAGACUUUGAUACAGUAAAUCCAUGGGUGAAUCUCCAAAAGGAGAACACAGGAGGCAAUGUUCCUGAAACUAGCUCAACAUGGAAACCUUCAACCACAAAGUGGCUCACAGGCAUAUUGCUAUGUCCUGGAUGCAACGUGUAAAAUGUAUUUCUUGUGGGUCAUGGUCGAGAAAGUUUUAAAUUUCCAUUUUUAGAAAAAAGUCCAUGAGUGUUUGUUGCUGAGAUUUCUUGAGCUUCCUUCUUCUGCUCUUUCCAUGGCUAACUAUUUAGCUAGCUGUCAAGCCUCCUGCUGCUGUCUUCCCUUUCUUGCUUCAGUAAAUCUGAGUCUGCUGCCACCCAAGAGCUGUGAAGUUUCUGCUGCUCCUCUUCAGUGGUUCCACGGUUCCAUUUGCUGCACUAUUGAGAAACUUUCUCAGUUUCUGGUCACAGGAACUAACUUAAAUCAGCUGAGACACAAAAAGACAAUUUAUCGGUUUAUGUGAUCAAAAAGUCUGGUCAUGGCCUAAAAAUAAAUCAUAACAUUUCUGUUUCUCUCUCCAUUUCUCUGCCAGUGUCUUCAUGUGGCUUCCGGAGGCCCCAGACUCAUGUCCUAUUAGUUUAGAGGUCUGACCCUGGGAAAGAUCCUCUCCCAGAAAGCGGUGCCAGUUGGGCCUUCUAAACUUUCUGGCCAUUCCCUCUCUCUCUUCUGGAGGUCUGGCAAGUUCAAACUUUAUCCUCUCCUCUACAAAUCUUCUGUGCUAAGGUUUAUUGCACUAAAAGUGUUUCAGAGGUCUUUCCUCCUCCCCUCUUAUGUGGGAGACCAAGUUGCAGUCAUAGGAAAAUUAUGGACUUGCCUUAGGCAAUUAAGAUGAUAUUCUCUAUUUUUCUGAGUUGAGAAAAAAAGACAUGUUGAGAACUUCUGUCCAAACAAGAUGGCAUAACAUAAUUCCUUUCUUUCAUCCUUGCUAAGCACAACUAUAAAUUCUGAACAUAACUCAAGGGACAACCAAUGGAGAACUCUGAGAGAUGGUAAGAAGGCGGUAAGUUGAAUUGGGACCCAAGAAGUAGAGGAACAGCCCAGCAAUAGGACCUUUUACAUCCCACUCUCAACAGAGAAGGUGACUUGGCAUUUUAUCACCCCUGGCUAGCAGCAGAAGGCAGCACAGGUAGACUCACUCCUCCCUGGAAUCAGAUAGGAGUCCUUUUGAUGACAUCACAGCCUGAUGCUUAUUGGAAAGGGGGUCCUUUGGGAGCCCCACCCACAAUAAGUGUCUAGGGAAGCUCUGUUCUUCCCCUCAGGUCCUGAGCUUCCCCUCCUCGUGGUGAGACACAG
rnacentral:lncRNA from 10 species